rnacentral:rRNA from 1 species
GCUUGCUGCAGUCGAACGGCAGCGCGGGGCAACCUGGCGGCGAGUGGCGAACGGGUGAGUAAUAUAUCGGAACGUACCCUGGAGUGGGGGAUAACGUAGCGAAAGUUACGCUAAUACCGCAUACGAUCUAAGGAUGAAAGUGGGGGAUCGCAAGACCUCAUGCUCCUGGAGCGGCCGAUAUCUGAUUAGCUAGUUGGUGGGGUAAAGGCCCACCAAGGCAUCGAUCAGUAGCUGGUCUGAGAGGACGACCAGCCACACUGGAACUGAGACACGGUCCAGACUCCUACGGGAGGCAGCAGUGGGGAAUUUUGGACAAUGGGCGCAAGCCUGAUCCAGCAAUGCCGCGUGAGUGAAGAAGGCCUUCGGGUUGUAAAGCUCUUUUGUCAGGGAAGAAACGACAUCCUCUAAUACAGGGUGUUAAUGACGGUACCUGAAGAAUAAGCACCGGCUAACUACGUGCCAGCAGCCGCGGUAAUACGUAGGGUGCAAGCGUUAAUCGGAAUUACUGGGCGUAAAGCGUGCGCAGGCGGUUUUGUAAGUCUGUUGUGAAAUCCCCGGGCUCAACCUGGGAAUGGCAAUGGAGACUGCAAGGCUAGAGUUUGGCAGAGGGGGGUAGAAUUCCACGUGUAGCAGUGAAAUGCGUAGAUAUGUGGAGGAACACCGAUGGCGAAGGCAGCCCCCUGGGUCAAAACUGACGCUCAUGCACGAAAGCGUGGGGAGCAAACAGGAUUAGAUACCCUGGUAGUCCACGCCCUAAACGAUGUCUACUAGUUGUCGGGUCUUAAUUGACUUGGUAACGCAGCUAACGCGUGAAGUAGACCGCCUGGGGAGUACGGUCGCAAGAUUAAAACUCAAAGGAAUUGACGGGGACCCGCACAAGCGGUGGAUGAUGUGGAUUAAUUCGAUGCAACGCGAAAAACCUUACCUACCCUUGACAUGGCAGGAAUCCCGGAGAGAUUUGGGAGUGCUCGAAAGAGAACCUGCACACAGGUGCUGCAUGGCUGUCGUCAGCUCGUGUCGUGAGAUGUUGGGUUAAGUCCCGCAACGAGCGCAACCCUUGUCAUUAGUUGCUACGAAAGGGCACUCUAAUGAGACUGCCGGUGACAAACCGGAGGAAGGUGGGGAUGACGUCAAGUCCUCAUGGCCCUUAUGGGUAGGGCUUCACACGUCAUACAAUGGUACAUACAGAGCGCCGCCAACCCGCGAGGGGGAGCUAAUCGCAGAAAGUGUAUCGUAGUCCGGAUUGUAGUCUGCAACUCGACUGCAUGAAGUUGGAAUCGCUAGUAAUCGCGGAUCAGCAUGUCGCGGUGAAUACGUUCCCGGGUCUUGUACACACCGCCCGUCACACCAUGGGAGCGGGUUUUACCAGAAGUAGGUAGCUUAACCGCAAGGAGGGCGCUAUCACGU